rnacentral:lncRNA from 10 species
GUAAGCAAAACAUUUCUGCUGACUUUUGAGAAUUCUCUCUUCUUCCUCAACAUAGAAAGGGCUCAGAAAAUGCAAAAGGGAGGGGAAAGAGUUACGAGUAGCCUCCUCUCACUGCCACUGUGUCCUGGGGAGGAGAUGGACAUUUGAAUUGGACAAGAAACUGAAGUGGAUGGCACUGGAUUGCCUCUUUUCCACUCUUUUCCAGCCUAAAAAGUUCACAAAAUUGGCAUUUGCUGGAGAAGCCAUGAAGUCUUGGGAAAGGGAGAUUCGACAGAGCAUGUUACAGCCACAAUAGGAGAAAAAAACCUUCUCAGGUUUGAACCCUGCUGAGUUCACAGUUUUCAAUAAAUUGCUGACAAAUGCAAGGUGUUCAGACAAGUAGGUAGUGCUCCACAAAUAGUAGAUAUUAUUCUAGUCACCUAGAGAGAAUAAAUGUUCAGAAAAUGUCUACGUAUGUUUUGCUAUCAAAGAGCGAAUAAGAUAUUCAAUUUGUAUUUUUGCUUUAGAUAAAGCAUAAUGCCCUUAUUAUGCCUUCAAGUCUUCAUUUCCCCCACGAAGGGACGUUUUUCUGUGUUAUUUGACCAUAUGCCUUUUGCUACGCUGGGCAUUUGCCUUCUUUGACCUUUUCUGGACAUUCCCACUUUACCCGCCAGGGAUUGAGGAGAUUACAAAGGUCAUCUAAUCAUCUAGUCUCGUUUCCAAUUUGGUUAAGAUAAAAUAUUAUUUAAUUACUAGAAAAAUACUUUGUUAUUAAAAUCAAAGUGUCUUGUGCUGGUUUGCAAACAAAGUAAUUUCUACACGCUUAUAACACAAAGAGGAGACCAGAUGUGGUGAAGUAGAAGAGAGAGGACACUGGCUUUGGAGCCAGGGGACCCAGAGCGGCUCCCAGUAAUGUGAUAUUUUAUGUGUUUUCCAACCCCAUGCAGCAUCCAUUGCCUCACCUGUAAAAUAGGGGUUUUGACAAGGACCACAUCGAGUUAUUGUGAAGAGUAAAUAGAUGAUUAUAGAAAACAUGUCACACAGUGCUAGGCACAUAGAUGAAGCUUAAGGAAUAGCUGUUGUCCCGUUUCCAAGGUUGCAGAGUCAGAAGACACCCCUAAGAAGACAUAAAGUACUGUUGUUCAGAAGGAAGGCAUUGGGAAAGUCAAAAGGACACCAGAAAUAGUGAACUCAACAUUGAUUUGCACAUUUGACCAAGGUUGGUGGUCAUUUACGCAGCAGUAUUGAGAUGAUCCAUAGAAAGUCAUGAUAACACUAUUGGAGCAAAGUCACAAUAUUUGUAUUUUCAUAUGUAUCUCAUGAUGUAUAUAAGUACUCAUUUUAACACCCAUUGUUUAAAAACUGUUCAGAAUUCAGAAAAAUUAAAAAAUCAUUUAAACUAAAUAUUACAUUAUUGACUAUAACUUAAAUUUCAAAAUGUAAACAUUAACCAUCUAUUAUAAUUUGAAUUAGCAGGAUAAAAAGCAAUACAAAAGUAUAUAAAAUAAAGUAAACAUUGCACAAAAUGAAGAAAAUGAAUCCUGAAAAUUGAAAAUGAAUUAAAUUGGAUUUUCUGGCAAAUAUGAUCUUAAGAACAACGUGUAUCAAUGGUGUUAUCUUCGAUGGUGAGCCUCAUUUUGGGGCAUAUUCUUCUAGCCACUGGAAACACUUUCCAUAAUUUAAAAUAGACAGAAAAAUAGUGACGAGACAAAAAGCAACUAAGUCCAAAUAUCUUCCUCUGGAACUUUUAUUUACAAAUGAUUCCAUCUUUUUGUGAGAGUAUAAAGAUGAUCUUUUAGAAAUUUUUAUUUUUAUUGUAUUAAAGACUACGAUGUCUUUAUUGACAGCUGUAGUUUUUGUUAUUAAGGCCCAGAAGUCAGCUUACUGGAUGCCUGGUUCUUAGCUUUUGCUGUGAAAUAGCCUUUUUUGAAACAAAACAAAUCCAUCAGACAGGCAAGAGCUUCUACCACCAAACACUGACUGUUUUAGCUAUCAAUCUUACCCCAUUGGAGGCAGCCUUAUAUUGAGAGUAAGACGGACUCCUUUUUCCUUAUAAUUGUCUUUUAAGGAGGUCCUAUUUCAUUAAAUAUUCAGGGAAAAUUGUUUUUUGUUUGUUUGUUUGUUUGUUUUUUAAAAACCUUCUUUCAGGAAGUAGAACUAGGGUGAAUUUAAUCUGGGAAAAUUUGGGCUACUGUCCCAGUCAUCUUUGCUUUCUAGCUCAGAGGCCUUGAGAGAUCGUAAGGUCUCUCUUUUAAUGCUGGGUUUAACUCUCUGGUAAUUCUCAAAGUAUAAAUAAUUCAUGUCUCAGGUUUUAAAAAUGUUAAAAUAAUGAUAUCACACUAACAAAAUAUUGGCGUUUGGGUACAUAAGAGUCUGUAGUAUGAUCUACUAGAGUUCUAGAAUGUUGAACAUUGAUGGUGCAAUUAUUAAUUAAAAUUAUCUUGCUCAGAAGGUUUUCCUCCAUUAAACUACACUUUUUAGAGUAAGCUCACUUUGGUUUAAGGCACCUGUUCAUAGGAUGUCCUUAAAUAUAUGAAUAUUGCCCUGGGAGUUACCCUUUUAGUCAUUAAUAACUGGGCAUAAAUCACUUAUCUGCCAGGUAAUCAAGAACAGGACCCAGAACAAGUGUUUUUCUUUCUUUCUUUCUUUCUUUUUUUCUUAGGCUGGAGCAGUGGAAAGAGAACUAUGCACAAGGAUGAGGAGAAUAAUUGUGAUUGUGGGACAGGGCCCCAGGAGAGAGGUAUAGCAGACUGGCCUUGGAAAGCCUGCAGCUGCAUCAGGAAGGCAAAGCAUGCUUGGAAAAAAUGCUGACUGAAGUAAGGCAGAACCUAGAGGGUGGGUGGAUACUCCAUAACUGUAUUCAAAUUGGGCACUCUCUUGUUGUAAAGCCUUUGCGUAAGUGCAACUGAGAAAAUAUAUGGUAGAAAAAAAAGGCUAUGUUCUGACCAGCUCGAGGAUGGGGGAAUAUCAUGCAUAAUAUGUGCAAACUAUGUGAAGAAAAGUACAAGUUAAUAUGAUCACAAAAAUAUUCAGAAAAACACAGAGUGAAGGAGGUAAGACAAGAGGUAAUGAAAUAAUUAGUGAAGUAUGGGCUCCUGUGCAAGGGAAUAUCUUGAGACAGAUUUUUGAAGAGAAGUUAGAUGUGGGCUGAUGAAGAGGAACUGUCACUCCACAUUGAGGGAGUGGUCUCUGCAAAGGUGGUAGCUUAGCUUGGGUUCCUAAGAAAAGAGUCUGAGGUUAAUCUUAUGAGCACAUGCUUUAUUGUAGAGUACAAGUCCAGAGAAGCAAGUGUGACAAAAAAGGAAGGAUAGGAAACAAAAAGUCAUGUUAUUGAGCUCUGGUUAUAGGAAAUUUAAAUGGUUACUCAGUUACACUGAACAUCUCCAGAGAGAUUCAUGAAUUCACGGCACCUUAGAAAAAUUCUUUGGUGGAAAGAAGGGCAAACAAUCUAUCUACUGGCUUCUUUCCAUCUCCUGUUUCUCAUGCUUACUUGACCUAACAAAGUGUUAACUUGCACAUCUUCCCUCCAGACAGCUGCUGGGUUAGUAACUAACUCCAACUUAGUUACUGGAGCUGCUGCUGUUUCUGCUGUGAUGAGAGGUAUGGAGGCCAUGUCAAAGCCUGGCUUUUUCUCCCCAGGAUUUGCAGGGAAGGCUGCAAAAACCAGGGUGAGAGAUGCUGAGUCUUCUGAGUUUUAUGACCAUUGGAAUGGCAUGAGUCAAUCAACCAUUGCUGAGCUCCUCUGAUCAGGACUCUGGGCAAGCAACAGUCUGGGGCUGAGGGUAGAUGAGGCCCAGGAGGAUCUGAGGAAAUGUCCAAGAUAGGUCUGGAAGAGUGAGGAAAAUGGAUGAUGAAAACUUAGCAUGUCUAGAAGGAGUGAGGUCUCAACAAAUGUGUAACUUAGUGUAUGUAGUAUUGGAGUGACGUUCUAGGAAUGGCCAAAAGCUAGGAUUCCAUAGGCUGAUUUGAAUGAAUUUGAGAUGUGUGCCCAUUUUGUUGUGCUUAUUAUGGCUGAUCCUGUAGUUUUAGCAAUUCAGUGAUCAUCUCAACUUUCUUCCUAAACAGCUGAGCCUGGAAAGCUAAAACUAACACUUUUCAGACUUCAAUGAAAUUACUGUUCUGAAUAUGAUUCAGGUUCUACCAAAGAGAUGUAUUCAUGAGAACUGAAUUUAGAACUGAAGGAAGUGGGGAGAGAAGCAUGAGCUGUGAUGGUAGUAGCUGCUGGGUAAGUGGCCAGCAGCCACUAUGGUACUUCCUAUCAUGGCAGAGACAACUGGUCUCAGAGGUGCCCAGUUGUGUCUUGUGGCUUUGGACAUUUCUCCUGGAUGCUCAACCUAGAGACUGUUUAUCUCUCAAGUGAUUUGUAAACCUUUUAAUGCUCUGUGAAAAAAAAAUUUAAUCCCUUUUGCCUAAACCAGCUAGAGUGGAUUCUAUUCUGAGGAAAUGACCAUAUUUUAAAGGUUUGCUGGAGAAGUCUGGAUGGGGGGUGGAGAGAAAGAAAUAUAAAAAUAGAGAUAGAAAUAGCUAAAUGGAGGGUAGAGAUAUUAAUUCCGGCUCUUAGAUGGUGGGCAACUCACUACCCACAAUUAUUAAAUCUGAUUUUUCCUCUCAGCACACAUUCAUAUAGAUACCAUGUAUGAAGAAUACAGGAGAACCCUGAAGGUAUCCAAAUGAAAUUGACUUCCCAGUCAUCAUUAAACAUUUAAAGAACUUCAACAAAACAUGCUCCAUGUUAAGGACUUUAGCACCUAAAAAUAAGGAAAGAUGCAGCUUUUGAUUUUAAACAUUUAUUGUUUUCAAGGGAAAGCCUUCUGUAUCCCUGCACACUUUAAGCAGGUAAAUGUUAGAUUGCUGCAUCAGCUCCUGGACUCUGCAUAACUUCUGAUGUCCUUCUGGUAAACCUUGAUCCCUUAUUGCAUCAUGUGACCUCCUCUCCCCCAGCUCUAGCUCUGCCUAGCCGCCUACACACAGACAGGAUGCUUGGUGCUAUGACAGCCAUCUUGAAGCCAUGAAAUCAUAAAAACAAGGACAAAAAGUCAACUUACUGAGAAUGGUAGAGAGGAAGAAUAGAAAGACCCAAUUCCUAGUGACAGCAUUAAGUCACUACUUAUGUCCUGAACUCUGUAUCCAGAGUUCAGAUUUUGUAAAAACAAAGCAAAAAAGAAAACAGAAACAACCCUAUCUAUUUAUGUUAUUAUUAAUUUACUUUGUUAUUUGCUGCUGAAAGCGUUCCUAACUGGUAUAAAUAAGAAGGACUAAAGAACUUACCCUCGUCAGAGAUUUACUCUGUAAGUGAGCAUGGUUGUUGAAUAUGUGACCAGUCUAAGUAGUGAGGCAACACAGAGUGGAAGAAUAUCUGGAUUUUGUUAUUGGCUCCUGUACUUCUCAGCUGUGUACAAAGCAAACCUUGCUUUACAGGAACUUUGGCUCUCUAUUUACAAGCAGUCCCUGGAAAGUAAUACAGUGGAGGAGGACCCCCAUGAUUACAUUCUGCGAGAGGAGUUCCUAAGCAUUGCAGCAUGAAAAACAGUGCUUAAAAGCUUAAGCAAUAUUUUUCAAAAUAUUGACCUAUCUCAGUAGGAACUGAGAUAGGCAACAAAUCUGACUGACAGAAUACAUUUCAAACUUUCAAAAUUGUGUCUUCCUCUUACUGUGGGUCCUUACCCCUGAACAAAGUUCAUCACACCUGGCUUCACGUUGCAGGGUAUAUUUUUUUGAUGCCUGCCUUAUCUGGCUUCCAGUCAUGCCCUGGAAUUUGAGUGUCUCUCAAAUGUAAAAAUCAAAAAGUAUAUUGUAAAAAUGUCUAUACUAUGCAAAGUAAUAUACAGAUUCAAUGCAAUUUCUAUCAAGAUUCCAAUGACAUUUUUCACAGAAAUAGAAAAAAAUCUAAAAUUUAUAUGAAAACAUCAAAGACAUCAAAUAGCCAAAACAAUCUUGAACAAAAAGAACAAAGCUGGAAGCAUUACACUAUUUGAUUUCAAAAUGUACUGCAAAGCUAUAGCAAUCAAAACAACAUGGUACUGGCACAAAAACAGAAAUAUGGACCAAUGAAAUUGAACAGAGAGCCCAGAAAUAAAUUCACCCAUUUACAGUUAACUGAUCUUCAACAAAAGUGCCAAGAUCAUACAACUGAGAAAGGACAGUCUCUUCAAUAAAUGGUGCUGGAAAAACUUGAUAUCCACAUGCAGAAGAAUGAAAUUGGACCCUUAUUUCAUCCCAUAUACAAAAAUCAACAUAAAAUGGAUUAAAGACUUAAAUGUAAGACCAGAAACUAUAAAACUAUUAGAAGAAAACCUAGAGACAUUGACAUUGGUCUUGGCAAAGAUUUUUUGGAUAUGACCCCAAAAGCACAGGCAGCAAAAGCAAAACUAGACAAAUGGAAUUACAUCAAACCAAAAAAAUAGCUUCACAGCAAAAGAAGCAAUCAACAGAGUGAAGAGAAAACCUAUGCAAUGGGAGAAAAUAUAUGUAAAUCAUACAUGAAAUAAGGAACUAAUAUCCAAAAUAUAUAAGAAAUUCAAACAUCUGAACAGCAAAAAAAAAAAAAAAAAGAAAAUUUAAAAAUGGGCAAAAGAUCUGAACAGACAUUUCUGCAAACAGAAUGUAUGAAAGGCCAACAGGUAUAUGAAGAGAUGCUCAACAUCACUAAUCAUUGGAGAAAUGCAAAUUAAAACCACAAUUAGAUAUCUAUCAUCUCACCUCUCUAAGAUAAGCAUUUGCAAAAAUGUGGAGAAAAGAGGACCCUUGCACGCAGUUGGUGGAAAUGUACAUUAGUAUAGCCUCAUGGAAAAUAGUAUGGAGGUUCCUCAAAAAAUUAAAAAUAGGACUACCAUAUGAUCCAGCAAUCUCACUUCUGAAUAUGUAUCCAAAGGAAAUGAAAUCAGUAUGGUAAAAAGAUAUCUGCAUUCCCAUAUUCAUUGCAACAUUACUUGCAAUAGCCAAGAUAGGGAAUCAACUGAUGAAUGAAUAAAGAAAAUGUGGUAUACAUAAUAUAAUGGAAUACCAUUUUGCCUUAAAAAGGAGGAAAUCGGGUCAUCUGCAACAAGCUAAGUGAAAAAAACCAGGCACAGAAGGACAAAUACUGUAUGAUCUCACUUACAUGUGGAAUUUAAAAAAGUUUAACUCAUAGAAGCAAAGGGUAGAAUAGUGGUUGCCAGGGACUGGGGCUAGGGGUGGGAGCAGGGAAUGGGGAGUUAUGGUCAAAGACUACAAAGUUUCAAAUAGACAGGAGGAAUAAGAUCUGGUGAACUAUAGUACAGCAUGUGACUAUAGUUAAUAAUAUUGUAUUGUACACUUGAAAGUUGCUAAGAGAGUAGAUUUAAAUGUUCUCAUCACCAAAAAUGAUAAAUAUAUGCAGAAGUGACAGAUAUAUUAAUUUGAUUUAAUUGUUCCACUGUGUAUACAUAUAUCAAAACAUCAUGUUAUACACCAUACAUAUAUACAAUUUUUCACCUUGCCAAUUAGAAAUAAAAAUUAUUCAUAUAAAAUAAAAAUAAAAAUAAAAAAUAAAAUUCAAAUUCAUAACCCAAAUUUCCCUAGACCUCUGCUUCCUCUGCAUAUAACAUGUUUGAGUCUCGCCUAAACUCAAAUUGGACCUCCACAGUCUUAGCAAAACUCUUUUAGAAAGUGCAAUAAUAUUUCUUAAUAAUCUGUCCCAGGUUAUCACUUUCCAUAAGAAUAUCCUUUUUUGAGUUCUCCUUGAAACCAUAGUUCAAAACAAAUGUGUUUGUUCUUGCAUUAUUUUUGGUAGAGAGAAGAACUAUGUGAUAAGAUAAACCUUAAGAUAAAUCCAUGUCUAUUGGGGAUAAAAGUUUUCAGUUAUUCUGCUCUUCACAAACUAACCCUAGUUCCUCUAAUCUUAAAGGUUUUAGCUUUCAACUUUUAGUUAUUUGAAUUUUGGGGGAAAGAUCUCACAUCAAUUUCUCCAUGUUAAGAUUUAAAUAACCAAACUGGAAGUUAAGUUUUUUUUUCUUUUUUGACAGAGUCUAGCUCUGUCGCCCAGGCUGGAGUGCAGUGGUGCGAUCUGGGCUCACUGCCAGCUCCGCCUCCCGGGUUCACGCCAUUCUCCUGCCUCAGCCUCCCCAGUAGCUGGGACUACAGGCGCCCACCACCACGUCCGGCUAAUUUUUUGUAUUUUUAGUAGAGACGGGGUUUCACCGUGUUAGCCAGGAUGGUCUCGAUCUCCCGACCUCAUAAUCCGCCUGCCUCGGCCUCCCAAAGUGCUGGGAUUACAAGCGUGAGCCACCGCGCCGUGCCUGGAAAUGAAUUUUUUACACACCAAGUGAAAAUAAGUGGUAUACAUUUUCACAGGAAAUUUUCCCACAAUAAAAUUUCUAGAUGGAAGUUCAAGUCCUUGUGCCUGAGCUCCUUAGAUUAAAAAGCAUAGCAGUUAUUUAACACUCUUUUAAAAAAGAAAGUAUGAAGACAUGGUGAAACUAUUUUGCUUAUCACAUUGACAUUCCUUUGAGAAGAAAGAAAGAAAAUGACAUGUGGUUGGGAAUUCUUCAGUUUAGCCCUAUAGAGAUUUUUAAAAAUGUUUUAACUUUCAAAGGCGCUUUUAUAGAGCUAUAAAAUUGCCUGUCUCCUCUCCAGGCUAUGCUGUACACAAAUGCAAUUCUAAUUUUUAUCGAAUGCUACUUUGAUCAUUCAGCUGCUUGAUCAAAAUCAAUAAUGACUUAUGGUGUUUCAGAUCAUGUCUAUACUUUUCAAGACCCUUAAUAAUCUGCCUCCAUCCUACCUAUCCUACAUUCUAUUUCACAUUUCCCUAUAAUAAUCUUUGUUAUUACCUUACUGCCUUUCUCUGUCCCUGUCAACUGCAACACAUAAGGGUUUGUAUAUAAAACAUGCACACACACACACACACAUACACACACACACACACAUUUCAUGCAUAUUCUGGCCUUGGGACUUUUACUUAUGCGUUUUUCCUUUUCUGAUGUCUACGUAUGUAUAGUUUUUCUCUUAGCAACAUCUAAACUUCUUUAAAAGUCACCACAAAUUCUACUUUCUUCCAAGAAGCUCCCCGAUGACCGUAACCUACAUUAUCCAUCCACUUUUUUUUUUUUUUUUUUGGUAGGGUCUUGCUCUGUUUCCCAGGCUAGAGUGCAGUGGUAUGAUCACAGCUCACUGCAGCCUUGGCCUCCUGGGCUCAAGCAAUCCUCCCACUUCAGCCUCCCAAGUAGCUGGAACCACAGGCUCAUGCCAACAUGCCCAGCUAAUUUUUAUUUAUUUAUUUUUUCAUUUAUUUUGUAGAGAUAAGAUCUUGCUGUGUUGCCCAGGCUGGUCUCAAGACUCCUGGCUCAAAUGAUCCUCCCACUUCGGCCUCCCAAAGUGCUGGGAUUAAAGGCAUGAGCCACCACUCCUAGGCCACUUUCUUAUUCCUGUUACUUAUUUAGGGUGACACUGUCCAAGACUUGCCUAAAUACCAUUUUAUAGUGUUUCUUUUUUAAUGAACAUAUAAACUGUGUUGUGAUCUUUUGUUUGUUUGUUUGUUUGUUUUUAUUAUUAUUAUUAUACUUUAAGUUUUAGGGUACAUGUGCACAAUGUGCAGGUUAGUUACAUAUGUAUACAUGUGCCAUGCUGGUGUGCUGCACCCAUUAACUCGUCAUUUAGCAUUAGGUAUAUCUCCUAAUGCUAACUCUCCCCCCUCCCCCCACCCCACAACAGGCCCCAGAGUGUGAUGUUCCCCUUCCUGUGUCCAUGUGUUCUCAUUGUUCAGUUCCCAUCUAUGAGUGAGAACAUGCGGUGUUUGGUUUUUUGUCCUUGCAAUAGUUUACUGAGAAUGAUGAUUUCCAGUUUCAUUCAUG